GAUGAACGCUGGCGGCGUGCCUAAUACAUGCAAGUCGAGCGAACGGACGAGAAGCUUGCUUCUCUGAUGUUAGCGGCGGACGGGUGAGUAACACGUGGAUAACCUACCUAUAAGACUGGGAUAACUUCGGGAAACCGGAGCUAAUACCGGAUAAUAUUUUGAACCGCAUGGUUCAAAAGUGAAAGACGGUCUUGCUGUCACUUAUAGAUGGAUACGCGCUGCAUUAGCUAGUUGGUAAGGUAACGGCUUACCAAGGCAACGAUGCAUAGCCGACCUGAGAGGGUGAUCGGCCACCCUGGAACUGAGACACGGUCCAGACUCCUACGGGAGGCAGCAGUAGGGAAUCUUCCGCAAUGGGCGAAAGCCUGACGGAGCAACGCCGCGUGAGUGAUGAAGGUCUUCGGAUCGUAAAACUCUGUUAUUAGGGAAGAACAUAUGUGUAAGUAACUGUGCACAUCUUGACGGUACCUAAUCAGAAAGCCACGGCUAACUACGUG
rnacentral:rRNA from 1 species